UCUCCCAUUUGAAGGGAGAUUCAUAGGUGUAGCAGCGCUGGACUUUCUUUGCCCCCGGUGGAGCAGCUUAUCUGACUGGCAGGCAGAGUUAUGUACAAGGACCUACGUUGUAUAGGAGGCUUGGAGGAAGAGUGGACAUCAGAUGCAUCCCAGGAGUUUAACUUAAAACCUGCCUUGGGGGAAAGACUGGAAGAGUAAAACAGAACCCACAGCAGAUGGAAAGCAGGAGAUUUUAAAGAGGCACAGAACAACAACAGCAAGAAAUGAGAGGUCCUUCCUGACCGUAAGAGGUAUCAAAUAGAAAAAGCAGCUCAAAAACGCCAUGAUCCUUACUCACGUCUGAGGCCAUCGGCGGGUCCCAGGAACCAGGAAAAGGUGAAACUAUACUUAGCACAUUUCUCAGAAGUUUGUGAGACAGGCCAGAGACUGUAGAACUACUUCUCCCCAAAAUAAAGAAGAUAAAGAGAAAAUGUUGGGGGUAACUAGUAAAACCUUGCUCAGGAUAGAGAAGAGCCGAGGUGAAGCUGAGGCGUCUGCAUGAUGAGAAAUGGUUGUAUUUGAAGAGCUCAAAUUAAACUCCUUCCAUGUAGCAGAGGCAGUGAUCCCUUUCAG